CCUUCGAUAGCUCAGUUGGAAGGGUGGAGGACUGUUUAAAUAUGUUGACUUCCUUAGGCUGGUUCAACUCCGGCUCAAAGGA
rnacentral:tRNA from 1 species